AACAUUCGAGUUUUGACACUCCCUUAACUCCCUUGCAAAAUCUUUGCACACACACGAACCCACACAAAGUACCUUGCUAAGGUAGCCGAUUUUGUCUAGAAAUAUUUUAAAUGUAAAUUCCCUAAAAUAAAUAAAUAAACAUGCGUGGCAAGCAAUAUCCCUCUGAAAUUGGGGUGCUAAUGUAUUGGCCAAUACUGUACAUAUGUGCAUACAAAAAAGUCAAAUGAGGCUAAUGACCACAAAACGAAAAAUUUAGGAAGGGCAGGAACAAAGAAAUUACAUAUUAAGUUUUUGUUGUUUUAUGCAUAAGUGUAGAGAACAUUUUAACGUUAUCAAAUCUUGAAUUCGUUGACAUAAAAACUAUUUCGGGGUUUUUUUGGCAAGUUUAAUGAUUAUAGCAACACAUCAAAUACAUAGGUACUUUUAUUUUUAUCACGGGACACAAAAAAAUACUAUACGGCAUAUUUGAUUUAACAAAAUCGCGCUUAACAAGCGACAGUUUGUUGACCUUGACUUGAUUUCUUAUGGCCUUACGAACGAUCAAGUGGUAUUUGUGUACAGGGUGGGCCAAUUAAGACCUACCUAUGUUAAACACGUAUAACUUCUUUAUUUUUUUAAUAUUAUUGUUAAUUUCUUUCUGCAUGCAGGGACCACCAACAACGACUGCAUUUUCUACGACUACAUCAAUUCGUUUUACACAUUAAGCCACAGAAAUUAAUUUUUUAGGUAAUGUUUUGAUGCAGCUAG